rnacentral:misc_RNA from 1 species
CGUGAUUUCUGCGCUACAGGUUUGCGUUGGCCUUGCUCUCUCGCGCGAACACUUCCCGCCUCCUCACCUGCGGUGUUGGCCAAGACCAUAACUUGAUGGUGUUGUCGCGCCUGGGAUAAAGUGUACCUCCAGCGUGGGCAUACCGCACUCCCCCACAACCACCCCGCGGGUGGCCUUGACCCGCGGACAGACAGACACACACACACACACAUACAAACGCGUUGGGGCCUACCUCAUUCGCUUGCUCGCCUUCCUCUCCCUAUUCCCCCACACCGUCUUCGCAUAUCUUUUUCGUCUUUGCUGCCGUUGCUGCUUCACACACAGAGACGCUGCUGAGCGUUGCCGACUGUGAAGACAGAAUGAGUGUCUUUCUCCAGAUCAUCUCCGUGUGCGCCACACUGGCGGCGCUGUGCAUGGUGGCGUCGCCCGUGAUUACUGUCAAGAGCAUGCGUGCCGCCAAAUCGGUUGGCAGCAUGACAAUCACCUUCUUUUGCGCGCAGUUCCUAAACUGCAACGUGUGGAGCAUGUACGGCGUGCAAACGCUAGCCCUUCCGGUGAUUAUCUGCAACACGUUCGGCUCUGCCGUCGCCGCUUAUUGCAUCCUGACGUUCCUGACAGUCGCCCGCAUGGAGGAGAAGGCGGGUCAUGUGCUCAAGUCAACGAGCUAUGGCGCCUCGUUGAAGACAGCGACGCUCACCAUAUUUUUAAUCGCACUUCUCCUGCUGCUAUUUCUCUAUCUCAUGAACUUUUCGAGCAGUGACUUUGCCGCACAGCUGAACGGCAUCCUGGGUGGUUGCUGUAGUGUCUUCAUGCUGAGCUCGCCGCUAGGCAUGGCAAAGGCAAUCAUCCACGAAAGAAACGCCGAGCCGCUGCAGCCGGCGACUGUCAUGUUUGCAACGCUGAAUAGCGUGCUGUGGAUGCUGUACGGCCUGCUGAGCCUGGACAUGUACAUCACGAUUCCCAACGUGCUCUGCACCUUGGCGUGCAUAUUCCAGAUCUUCCUGCUCGUCCGGUACGGUCGCCACCCCGCAGAGCAUGUCGAGAUCACGGAGACGAUUGCGCCGGUCCCCCUCGACUAGAAGCGUUCACCUUUCACAUGCUGGCGCGCGCAGUACGCGGUCACAAGGCGGAAGAAUGGAGAGAAGAGGCGCAGGGGGCGGACGGGGUUUUGAAUCUGCCGUUUCCCAAUCUUACGGCGUGCUUCGUCGUCGCUGCUCGCACGCCCCCUCCCCUUGCCUUCGCGGAAUGCUGUGUGCCCGCUCUCUCUCUGCGAAAGAGUCACGACAGACCUGUGUAUAAAAAACGUUGCUUACACUACCUUUUUUUUCCUUUUUGUACUGGUUGCCAGACAUUGACGACGCGGAGCAACACAGCGUGGUAUUGGAGAGCCCAAGAGAGCCCCCCACCACCCUGUGUGGGACGAAGCCAAGCAGCCCACCCACCCCUGCAUAUCCAGGUGUCAAAUGCCGAACCACUUGCGGUGGUGGUGACAGGGUCGAGCACCUACGACGUGGGAAAGUCAGAGCGGGUGUAUCGCUACUGAUGUCGGCGGUCAGGUCGUGGAUGACGUGGCGUCGGGGCAACCUGCAACACUAAACACGCUUGUGCCACCUACAUGAUAGCCAAAGUGCCGGCAGGAUUUGAACAUAUAUCUCACCCCCGGCCCUCACACCACUCACUGGUGAGCAGGGAGGCUUGGGCCGCCGCGCGGGGAAUGCAUCGGGUGGUGGCCGGCAUGAUGGGACGGGCCGGCUGCGAGGUGGGUGAGCAGAGGUGGAGUCAGGGGCCGUUCACAGAUGACUGCGCCAGUGCAUUGUGCUGUAACACGCGUGUCUACGGCUGCUUCGCAUCAUGCGAUGGGCCCGCGACAGAGCCGGGUAGAGUUGGAUUAAAUUUCGUC